rnacentral:rRNA from 1 species
UACGAAGGGGGCUAGCGUUGUUCGGAAUUACUGGGCGUAAAGCGCACGCAGGCGGAUUGUUAAGUUAGGGGUGAAAUCCUGGGGCUCAACUCCAGAACUGCCUUUAAUACUGGCAAUCUCGAGUCCGGAAGAGGUGAGUGGAAUUCCUAGUGUAGAGGUGGAAUUCGUAGAUAUUAGGAAGAACACCAGUGGCGAAGGCGGCUCACUGGUCCGGUACUGACGCUGAGGUGCGAAAGCGUGGGGAGCAAACAGG